AAAAAAGGUAAGCUACUAAGAGCGAAUGGUGGAUGCCUUGACUGGUAAAGGCGAUGAAGGACGUACUAGACUGCGAUAAGCUACGGGGAGCUGUCAAGAAGCUUUGAUCCGUAGAUUUCCGAAUGGGGCAACCCAAUGUAUAGAGAUAUACAUUACCUAUAUAGGAGCGAACGAGGGGAAUUGAAACAUCUUAGUACUCUCAGGAAAAGAAAUCAAUAGAGAUUGCGUCAGUAGCGGCGAGCGAAAGCGCAAGAGGGCAAACCCAGUGCUUGCACUGGGGGUUGUAGGACUGCAAUGUGCAAGAGGUAAGUUUAGCAGAACAUUCUGGAAAGUAUAACCAUAGAGGGUGAUAGUCCCGUAUGCGAAAAACAAACCUUAGCUAGCAGUAUCCUGAGUAGGGCGGGACACGAGGAAUCCUGUCUGAAUCCGGGUCGACCACGAUCCAACCCUAAAUACUAAUACCAGAUCGAUAGUGCACAAGUACCGUGAGGGAAAGGUGAAAAGAACUGAGGUGAUCAGAGUGAAAUAGAACCUGAAACCAUUUGCUUACAAUCAUUCAGAGCCCUAUGUAGCAAUACAGGGUGAUGGACUGCCUUUUGCAUAAUGAGCCUGCGAGUUGUGGUGUCUGGCAAGGUUAAGCAAACGCGAAGCCGUAGCGAAAGCGAGUCUGAAUAGGGCGCUUAGUCAGAUGCUGCAGACCCGAAACGAAGUGAUCUAUCCAUGAGCAAGUUGAAGCUAGUGUAAGAACUAGUGGAGGACUGAACCCAUAGGCGUUGAAAAGCCCCGGGAUGACUUGUGGAUAGGGGUGAAAGGCCAAUCAAACUUCGUGAUAGCUGGUUCUCUCCGAAAUAUAUUUAGGUAUAGCGUUGUGUCGUAAUAUAAGGGGGUAGAGCACUGAAUGGGCUAGGGCAUACACCAAUGUACCAAACCCUAUCAAACUCCGAAUACCUUAUAUGUAAUCACAGCAGUCAGGCGGCGAGUGAUAAAAUCCGUCGUCAAGAGGGAAACAACCCAG
rnacentral:rRNA from 1 species